AGGCCUUGCGCUCUUUGAGCGGCCGAUAUCAGAUUAGCUAGUUGGUGAGGUAAAGGCUCACCAAGGCGACGAUCUGUAGCGGGUCUGAGAGGAUGAUCCGCCACACUGGAACUGAGACACGGUCCAGACUCCUACGGGAGGCAGCAGUGGGGAAUUUUGGACAAUGGGGGCAACCCUGAUCCAGCCAUGCCGCGUGAGUGAAGAAGGCCUUCGGGUUGUAAAGCUCUUUCGGCCGGGAAGAAAUCGCAUGGGCCAAUACCCUGUGCGGAUGACGGUACCGGCAUAAGAAGCACCGGCUAACUACGUGCCAGCAGCCGCGGUAAUACGUAGGGUGCGAGCGUUAAUCGGAAUUACUGGGCGUAAAGCGUGCGCAGGCGGUUUUGUAAGACAGGCGUGAAAUCCCCGGGCUCAACCUGGGAACUGCGUUUGUGACUGCAAGGCUAGAGUACGGCAGAGGGGGGUGGAAUUCCACGUGUAGCAGUGAAAUGCGUAGAGAUGUGGAGGAACACCAAUGGCGAAGGCAGCCCCCUGGGUCGAUACUGACGCUCAUGCACGAAAGCGUGGGUAGCAAACAGGAUUAGAUACCCUGGUAGUCCACGCCCUAAACGAUGUCAACUAGGUGUUGGGUGGGUAAAACCAUUUAGUACCGGAGCUAACGCGUGAAGUUGACCGCCUGGGGAGUACGGCCGCAAGGUUAAAACUCAAAGGAAUUGACGGGGACCCGCACAAGCGGUGGAUGAUGUGGAUUAAUUCGAUGCAACGCGAAAAACCUUACCUACCCUUGACAUGUCCAGAAGCCUGAAGAGAUUUGGGUGUGCCCGAAAGGGAACUGGAACACAGGUGCUGCAUGGCUGUCGUCAGCUCGUGUCGUGAGAUGUUGGGUUAAGUCCCGCAACGAGCGCAACCCUUGUCGUUAAUUGCCAUCAUUCAGUUGGGCACUUUAACGAGACUGCCGGUGACAAACCGGAGGAAGGUGGGGAUGACGUCAAGUCCUCAUGGCCCUUAUGGGUAGGGCUUCACACGUCAUACAAUGGUCGGUACAAAGGGUUGCCAAGCCGCGAGGUGGAGCCAAUCCCAGAAAGCCGAUCGUAGUCCGGAUCGUAGGCUGCAACUCGCCUGCGUGAAGUCGGAAUCGCUAGUAAUCGUGGAUCAGCAUGUCACGGUGAAUACGUUCCCGGGUCUUGUACACACCGCCCGUCACACCAUGGGAGCGGGUUCCGCCAGAAGUAGGUAGCCUAACCGCAAGGGGGGCGCUUACCACGGCGGGGUUCGUGACUGGGGUGAAGUCGUAACAAGGUA
rnacentral:rRNA from 1 species